AUGAUGGAGCGUGAAUUCCGCCCUGGGUUCAUUCAUUCCCUCAGAAAGCUGGGCUCGUCUAGGGUGUUUGUUAGCAGCGUUAGGUUUAUCGUGAAGUCGACGAGGCAAUUGUUCGUGGUGGGUGAUGAGGACGGGUACAUCCACGUGCAUCACUGUAUGACAAUGAAGAGAGUCAAGGAAUUCAAAGCUCACGGCAGUGCGGUCACAUCAUUCGCCCUUCACCCGACUCAACCGUUUGUGCUGUCGGCAUCUCGCGACCAACUAAUCAAGCUCUGGAACUGGGAGAAGGGCUGGGUGUGCAUCAGGACAUUCACUGGGCACUCAGCCACGGUGAACCAAGUCAAGUUUAAUCCGCAUGACAACAACACUUUUGCAAGUGCUUCCGGGGACGGCACAGUGAAGACCUGGGGAAUUUUUUCUCCCACUCAUUUCACCAGCCUCAACUGCCAAGAGGGGCAGCGCUCUGUUGAUUACUAUCCCACGGGUGGUGAUCAGCAGCAGCAGCACUACAUGGUUACAGGAUCGGAAUGGCAGUUGAGACCGGACAAUGCGACGGCACGCAUCUGGGAUUUGCGAACACAGACAUGUAUCCGUGAAAUCAAGGGGCUCGAGUCAUACUGUGAAGUUGGUGUGAUCGAUUGCCAUCCAGAUCGUCCAGCAGUGUUGGUUACUGCGUCAGGCGGCUGUGGUGUUUCUCUCCACGACUCCACAACCUACAGGUGUGAGAGAACGGUUCAUUUCGGUCUCGGCAAGGUUGUAUGUGUUGCAUACGUCAAGGGAGCAAGAAGCCUCGCUAUUGGACAUGAGCGAGGAGUUGCAAUCAUGGAAAUCGAUUAA
rnacentral:rRNA from 1 species